rnacentral:rRNA from 1 species
UACGUAGGGGGCAAGCGUUGUCCGGAUUUAUUGGGCGUAAAGCGCUCGCAGGUGGUUCGAUGCGUCGUGCGUGAAAGACCCCGGCUCAACUGGGGGGUGUCGUGCGAUACGGGCAGACUAGAGUUCGGCAGGGGAGACUGGAAUUCCUGGUGUAGCGGUGAAAUGCGCAGAUAUCAGGAGGAACACCGGUGGCGAAGGCGGGUCUCUGGGCCGAUACUGACGCUGAGGAGCGAAAGCGUGGGGAGCGAACAGG